rnacentral:rRNA from 1 species
AGCGAACGCUGGCGGCAGGCCUAAUACAUGCAAGUCGAGCGGGUCCUUCGGGAUUAGCGGCGGACGGGUGAGUAACGCGUGGGAACGUGCCCUUUGGUACGGGAACAACUGAGGGAAACUUCAGCUAAUACCGUAUGUGCCCUUCGGGGAAAGAUUAUCGCCAUUGGAGCGGCCCGCGUUGGAUUAGGUAGUUGGUGAGGUAAAGGCUCACCAAGCCUACGAUCCAUAGCUGGUCUGAGAGGAUGACCAGCCACACUGGGACUGAGACACGGCCCAGACUCCUACGGGAGGCAGCAGUAGGGAAUCUUGCGCAAUGGGCGAAAGCCUGACGCAACCAUGCCGCGUGAAUGAUGAAGGUC